GAUGAACGCUGGCGGCGUGCCUAAUACAUGCAAGUCGAGCGAACAGACGAGGAGCUUGCUCCUCUGACGUUAGCGGCGGACGGGUGAUUAACACGUGGAUAACCUACCUAUAAGACUGGGAUAACUUCGGGAAACCGGAUCUAAUACCGGAUAAUAUAUUGAACCGCAUGGUUCAAUAGUGAAAGACGGUUUUGCUGUCACUUAUAGAUGGAUCCGCGCCGCAUUAGCUAGUUGGUAAGGUAACGGCUUACCAAGGCGACGAUGCGUAGCCGACCUGAGAGGGUGAUCGGCCACACUGGAACUGAGACACGGUCCAGACUCCUACGGGAGGCAGCAGUAGGGAAUCUUCCGCAAUGGGCGAAAGCCUGACGGAGCAACGCCGCGUGAGUGAUGAAGGUCUUCGGAUCGUAAAGCUCUGUUAUUAGGGAAGAACAAAUGUGUAAGUAACUAUGCACGUCUUGACGGUACCUAAUCAGAAAGCCACGGCUAACUACGUG
rnacentral:rRNA from 1 species